UACGUAGGGCGCAAGCGUUGUCCGGAAUUAUUGGGCGUAAAGAGCUCGUAGGUGGCGUGUCGCGUCUGCCGUGAAAGCCCAUGGCUUAACUGUGGGUCUGCGGUGGAUACGGGCAGGCUUGAGGCUGGUAGGGGCAAGCGGAAUUCCUGGUGUAGCGGUGAAAUGCGCAGAUAUCAGGAGGAACACCGGUGGCGAAGGCGGCUUGCUGGGCCAGUUCUGACGCUGAGGAGCGAAAGCGUGGGGAGCGAACAGG
rnacentral:rRNA from 1 species